UACGUAGGGUGCAAGCGUUGUCCGGAAUUACUGGGCGUAAAGCGUGCGCAGGCGGUUUUGUAAGCCAGAUGUGAAAUCCCCGGGCUUAACCUGGGAAUGGCAUUUGGGACUGCAAGGCUCGAGUGCGGCAGAGGAGACUGGAAUUCCUGGUGUAGCAGUGAGAUGCGUAGAUAUCGUGAGGAAUACCAGAGGCGAAGGCGGCUACCUGGACAAUUGCUGACGCUCAGGCACGAAAGCGUGGGGAGCAAAAGGG
rnacentral:rRNA from 1 species